CUUCCUGCAGUCGACGGCAGCGCGGAGCGGGGUAACCCGUUCUGGCGGCGAGUGGCGAACGGGUGAGUAAAAUAUCGGAACGUACCUGAAAGAGGGGGAUAACGCAGCGAAAGCUGCGCUAAUACCGCAUAAACUCCGCGGAGAAAAGUGGGGGACCGCAAGGCCUCACACUUUCAGAGCGGCCGAUAACUGAUUAGCUAGCUGGUGAGGUAAAAGCUCACCAGGGCGACGAUCAGUAGCUGGUCUGAGAGGACGACCAGCCACACUGGAACUGAGACACGGUCCAGACUCCUACGGGAGGCAGCAGUGGGGAAUUUUGGACAAUGGGCGCAAGCCUGAUCCAGCAAUGCCGCGUGAGUGAAGAAGGCCCUCGGGUUGUAAAGCUCUUUUGUCCGGGAAGAAAAGGCGGUUUCUAAUAAAGGCCGCCGCAGACGGUACCGGAAGAAUAAGCACCGGCUAACUACGUGCCAGCAGCCGCGGUAAUACGUAGGGUGCAAGCGUUAAUCGGAAUUACUGGGCGUAAAGCGUGCGCAGGCGGUUCUGUAAGUCAGAGGUGAAAUCCCCGGGCUCAACCCGGGAACGGCCUUUGAGACUGCAAAGCUCGAGUGUAUCAGAGGGGGGUGGAACUCCACGUGUAGCAGUGAAAUGCGUAGAGAUGUGGAAGAACACCGAUGGCGAAGGCAACCCCCUGGGAUAACACUGACGCUCAAGCACGAAAGCGUGGGGAGCAAACAGGAUUAGAUACCCUGGUAGUCCACGCCCUAAACGAUGUCGACUAGUUGUCGGGACAAAUAUGUCUUGGUAACGCAGCUAACGCGUGAAGUCGACCGCCUGGGGAGUACGGUCGCAA
rnacentral:rRNA from 1 species